AUUGAACGCUGGCGGCAGGCCUAACACAUGCAAGUCGAGCGGCGCGUCGGACGGGUGGUUAAUGCCUAGUGAUCUGCCUGUUAGUGGGGUAUCCCUUCCGGAAACGUGCCCUAUUGACACAUACUUUCAGAUGCGCCUCGGUCGCAUUAGCUAGUUGGUGGGGUAAUGGCCUACCAAGGCGACGAUGCGUAACCGGUCUGAGAGGAUGAUCAGUCACACUGGAACGGAGACACGGUCCAGACUCCUACGGGAGGCAGCAGUGGGGAAUAUUGGACAAUGGGCGAAAGCCUGAUCCAGCCAUGCCGCGUGUGUGAAGAAGGUUUUCGGAUUGUAAAGCACUUUAAGUUGGGAGGCGUUACCAACAGAAUAAGCACCGGCUAACUUCGUGCCAGCAGCCGCGGUAAUAC
rnacentral:rRNA from 1 species